GCCCGUUUAGCGCAGUGGUAGUUGCGCCUGCCUAGUAAGCAGGAGGUCGCUGGUUCAAACCCAGCAACGGGCA
rfam:Gonapodya prolifera JEL478 unplaced genomic scaffold M427scaffold_59, whole genome shotgun sequence.